rnacentral:rRNA from 1 species
AAGAUUUUAUUAUAAUAGAAUUUCUAAAUCUUAAUUAAAACAUUUAAUAAUAUAGUAAAGGUGAUUAAAGAUUUUUAUAAUAUCUUACUAAAGUACUGUAAAGGAAAAACAUAACCAAAAAAUAGAAGAGUUAAAAAUUCGUACCUUUUGUAUCAUGGCUUAGCUAGAUUUGAAUUAGAAUUUUAAUUUCUCGAAAUCUAAUGAGCUAUCUUUAACUUUUAUUAUAGUAAAAUAGGUUAAUUGUGACAAAAAUUUCUUAAUAGUUAAAGAUAGAAAUGAAAUUUUAUUCGAAUUAGAUGAUAGCUAGUUCUUUUAAAAAAGCAUAGAAGUGCUACAUAUUAUGAUUUUAUAAAAAGUGCUCUUUAAUAAAAUCUAAUAUUGUUAAGUCCUUGAGGAUAAGCUCGAGGAUAAGUAAUAAAUAAACAUAAUAAAUUUUAUACUAAAUUUAAGCUUGAAAAUAGCUAUAAUACUAAAAUUUUGUUAUAAUUUUAUAUAAUGUUAAUAAAUAUAAUUAAUUUGUUUGCCUAAUACAUAAAGGAAAUCUUAUAAACUAUAAAUAAGUUGUAUAAAUGCUAAGAUGAGUAUUAAUAGAACAUAUACACAUAUUUAUAUCAAAAAGUAAAUUGAUAGUAUUGAAAUAUAUAUAUUAAAGUUAAAUUACAUAAAGGAACUCGGCAAGUAUAAUAUUCUGCCUGUUUAUCAAAAACAUGGCUCCUUGAAUAUAAGCUAUAAGGAGUCGGACCUGCCCAGUGAUAAUUUUAAACGGCCGCGGUACUCUGACCGUGCAAAGGUAGCAUAAUCAUUUGCCUUAUAAUUGAAGGCUAGUAUGAAUGGUUUGACAAGAAUAAAACUGUCUCUAUUGUAAUUAUAUAGAAUUUUAUUUUUAGGUGAAGAAGCCUAUAUAUAAUUAAAAGACAAGAAGACCCUAUCGAGCUUUAAAAAAAUUAAUGAGAUAAAGAUAUAAUAAAUAAAUUCAUGUUUAUUAAGAAUUUUGGUUGGGGCGACUAAGGAACAAAUAAAGCUUCCAAAUUAUAUAAUAACGUACAUGUGUUGAUCCAAAAAUUUUGAUUAAAGGAAUUAGUUACCGUAGGGAUAACAGCAUUAUCUUUUUUAAGAGUCCCUAUCGAAAAAAAGGUUUGUGACCUCGAUGUUGGACCAGAAUAUCCUAAAGACGCAGAAGUCUUUAAGGGUUGGUCUGUUCGACCAUUAAAAUUCUACGUGAUCUGAGUUCAGACCGGCGUGAGCCAGGUCAGUUUCUAUCUUUUAUUGUUUAAUAUGGACUUAGUACGAAAGGACCAGUUUAUAAUAUCAUGGUAGAUAUUACUAAAAUGAUUUAGUAUAAUAUAGAAGUAAAGUGAAA